rnacentral:rRNA from 1 species
UGCCUUUGCUUCCAUAGGCAAGGAAAGCAACGUUGAACCCAUCAUCACGUUGAGAUUUUCUUACGAUAAGAUGGAUGGAUGGUUUAAAUUAUACUCGAAGUACAAAAGAAGGGAAAAAAAUUAUCUAUUGUAAUGCUGCAUCCUAGAUAUCAAAAGUCCACAAAUCGAAAACACCGAGUAGCAUGGAAUACAUGGAAUCCCAUGUGAAUCAGCACAGAUCAUCUUGCAAGGCUAAAUACUCAUAGAUGACCAAUGGCGAAGUUCUAUCGUAAGGUAAAGGUGAAAAACCCGAUCGAUGAGUGAAAUUGAACAUGAAA